GGUCUGCAACCCGACUCCAUGAAGCUGGAUUCGCUAGUAAUCGCGCAUCAGCCACGGCGCGGUGAAUACGUUCCCGGGCCUUGUACACACCGCCCGUCAAGCCAUGGAAGCCGGGGGUGCCUGAAGUGCGCUGCCGCAAGGAGCGCCCUAGGGUAAAGCCGGUGACUGGGGCUAAGUCGUAACAAGGUACC
rnacentral:rRNA from 1 species